rnacentral:lncRNA from 1 species
UGAAAUUUUAAUUUUGGCCUACUGGGAAUAACAUUUUAGAUGAGAAAACAAAGAACUAAAUACCAACCAACACUGUCGCCGACUGAGACGAACCUGUUAUAUGAAAAUACGAGUGAAAUAUUAUGGCACAGUUAGAAUUGUUAUAAGCAGUGGUUGUAAUAGUGGGUUAUAUGAGACGAACCUUAUGGUUGGUAAGGUGUAACGUAACAACAUGGCCGCUAGAUUUGUCGGUGGAUUAGGUUCCAGAGCAAGCAAGAAACUAGUUCUUCAAAAUAAUUGCUUCUUGUUGGAGAUUCGUUUUCCUUUUCCCAUCAUAGUUCUUUUGUUUCCUGCAUCUUUUUUUAUAUCGAAUCAUAAGAUAACAUAGUAGACAGAACAUUGUACCUUAAAAAGAACCGGCAAAUUACGUACAAGUUGUUUCAUAUAUAUCUC